ensembl:lncRNA
AACAGAGGUUUGGGUUUGGCCUUCCUCUGAGCCCACCUCCCAGCCCUCCACUGAGCACCCAUGUGUGAGUCACCCCAUCUCCUUGUUCCAUAAAGCACGAGGCUGAGUUUCACUCAGCUGCCUUCUCACCAAGCUGCCAAAUCCAGAAGCAAAACAGAGAAGCUGAGCUCUGCCCCAUGUCCUGAUGUCUUUGCUCUAUCGAUCUGGUCAUAUAAAUUAUUUUUUUUAUUCACUGGAAAUAAACUGAAAGGAGUGAACCUGUGUGAAAGUCUCAUAGGAAUGGACGGAAGGUGGGGAGAGAGGGAGGAGACGGUGUCUUUAUCUCAUGAGAGAAAUUCCAGCUUUAGGACCAGCUCCACAGCUGCCAGACAUGUGUUAGAGGAGAGCGGAGGGGGCAGAGCGGAGGGGGCAAAGCCGCAGGCUCCCGCCAAAUUCCAUGCAGCUUUGCUGACUCUAGAGAAAAUUCAGAGAAGAAAUAGACCUUGAGUAGGAAGAUGCGAUUAUUUUCCUCUGGAAGAAGCAGGCUUCCUGGAUGCCUGUGACCUAACUGGAAGGUUGCCAGCCAAAUACAGUGUGCGGCUGCCCUCUCUCCCAACCUGACCCGGGGUCUGACCAGGAGGGUCAGCUUCACCGCCAACAGUGGAGGCAGAAAUGCAACCCCAGGGAUGGCACCGCCUCCUUCCUGUAGGGGGUACCGAUGGCUCGGCCGGAGUCCUUGUUUGGGGAAAACCAGACUCGGAAAAAUGUGAGGCACUUUUAAUCUGCAGCAGGGCGAUGUCCAAGAGUCACCAUAGCAAUGGAGUGUGUCACUGAUCACAGCUCUACCCUGAGCCUGAAACUCCAGUGCUCAAGGGCGACUCUAAUGCCUCGGAGAACUUAACCAUGUGUGUGUUUGCACUUUCUCCGCCCUGAACAGGACAAGAUGGCAGCAGUUUGCCGCCUGAACUCCCCAGCUACACAAAAGCAACCUUGAAAAUGUGGCCAAAGAAAACCACAUUUCUUCCACUUUCAAGACUUCAGUGUCCUCCUGUGGGCCUAACAUGGUGCCAGACUCAUAGUAGGUCUUCAGUAAGUAUUUGAAUGACUCAACCUGCAACAUACCUCUAAAAAGUGAGGCUGGUAAUGCCUGGAUUCCAGUGUAUGGCUUGCAUGAUGAGGAUGAAAAAUGGUGACAGACAUACUUGCAGAGAUCUCAGUCCUGUUUCUAAACUCUGGGACAGCAACUGGAGCACAGGUCCUCCUCCACUUCCUCCACCCCCGGUCUCCAUCCCUGCUCUCUCAGAUAGACAUCUGCCCCUGGAGAGCCAGAGGAGUCUGUGGCCAAUCACUUGCAAAGCCAACCAUCCGAGGAAUGGCUGGUAUGUAGGGUAUGUGUAUGGUGUGGGUUUGUUUUUUCGGUUCAUCACUUGGCAAGGAAAUCCCUAACUAUUUUGUCUGGAGGCAUUAGCAUGGAGCUGAGAACCCCCCUGUCUCCCAGGGGAAGGUAGGAGGAGGGAGCAGGACAGUCCUGCCUCUUUUCCCCCCUGGGACAGCAUGGUACCAUCCCUGACUUGGCAUAUUUCGCUCGGGCUCUGGCUUUUUCCUCUGGCCCUCUGACAGAAGUCGAGUUGAAACAGAAGCAGCGGUAGCAUCAAGAAGACAUUUCCUUGGGGAGAGGACUCCCUGAAAGCUAAGGGGAGACAAGGGCGGGAGGAGGCCGAGCCGCUGUUUGACAUGGAUCAGUGUGCUCUGCCUUCAGUCUCUAGCUCCUCAGCUUGGUGCAGGGGACAGAAUCUGGUCUGAGUCAUGAGACCUGGGUUUUUGUUCUGGCUGGGCGAUCUUGGGCACAUUUCUUGACUUCUCGGAGCCUCUUUGUUUUCAUGAGUAAAUAGACCGUGAUUCCAACGGGUCUGGAUGGUGGACAUCCUUGACAUUUGACAGCUACCAAUAUUUUUGAGUAUUAAUUAUCACUAGGAGCUCUGGUAGGUACUUUAUAAGUAUUGUCAUUUUCUUCAUUGUAGCUAACAUUCAUUAGGUGCUUACAAUACACCAGUCAUUGUUUUAAAAACUGUAUUUAUGUUGACUCAUUUAAUCCUCACAACAAGCCUACAAGGUAGAUAUUAACCCCAUUUUAUAGAUGAGGAAAUUGAAGCACGAUAAAGUCAAACACCGUCGCCAAGUUCACACAGCUAGAAAAUAGCAGGUCCAAG